rnacentral:rRNA from 1 species
UACGAAGGGGGCUAGCGUUGCUCGGAAUCACUGGGCGUAAAGGGUGCGUAGGCGGUUCUUUAAGUCAGGGGUGAAAUCCUGGAGCUCAACUCCAGAACUGCCUUUGAUACUGAAGAUCUUGAGUUCGGGAGAGGUGAGUGGAACUGCGAGUGUAGAGGUGAAAUUCGUAGAUAUUCGCAAGAACACCAGUGGCGAAGGCGGCUCACUGGCCCGAUACUGACGCUGAGGAGCGAAAGCGUGGGGAGCGAACAGG